AACAAUUUUUUUAUUUUAAUUGGUUCCUUAACCAUUUUUUUUUGAUAUCUUCCACAUUUUUCAGAAAUAUUUUUAGCCAAGAAAACGUGUAAUUAAAACAUUUUUCCAACCAAAGUCACCUGAUAAUAUUCAACCAAACAUUCCAAAGAAGCUUUCUUACUAUAUAAAUUGGCAUAUUUCCAUAGUGUUGUCAUACUAUUGUUGUUGUAAAACGACACCAAAAUGAAAUUGUUGCUCCUCGUUACGUUGAUAACUUUCUGCGUUCACAUUUACGCUCAGGACCAAUGCAUCAGUUGUCUGCUCUGCCGGAAACCGAAUUGCAGACCGGACACCACCCUCGAAUCGUUCGGGACGCCGUUGGGGUGCUGCUGCCAUUCCUGCGUACCGAAUGCCAACGAAAACCAACGGUGUGGAAGGAUUACUAUUUUGCCGGUCACCACCAACUGUAACAAGGGGUUGGUUUGUAAAAAUGGAAUUUGUGUAAAAUCUUAAUUCAAAUGGAGUACUAUGUGUUUUCGUGUGUGUCAAUAAAGGGUAUUAUUAUUUUAUAA